rfam:Gossypium raimondii Chr08_contig_1321, whole genome shotgun sequence.
UAUUAAAAAUUUCAUCCAUUUCUACUAUUAAAAACUGACAUGGUUGACAAAAUAACCAGACAGUUUUGUCACGUGUACCUCAUGCUAAUGUAUAUGGACUAGUUUUUAGCAGUAAAAAUGGAUAUAAUUUUUAAUA